rnacentral:rRNA from 1 species
GAUGAACGCUGGCGGCGUGCUUAACACAUGCAAGUCGAACGGUGAACACGGAGCUUGCUCUGUGGGAUCAGUGGCGAACGGGUGAGUAACACGUGAGCAACCUGCCCCUGACUCUGGGAUAAGCGCUGGAAACGGCGUCUAAUACUGGAUACGAGUAGCGGCCGCAUGGUCAGUUACUGGAAAGAUUUUUUGGUUGGGGGUGGGCUCGCGGCCUAUCAGCUUGUUGGUGAGGUAAUGGCUCACCAAGGCGUCGACGGGUAGCCGGCCUGAGAGGGUGAGCGGCCACACUGGGACUGAGACACGGCCCAGACUCCUACGGGAGGCAGCAGUGGGGAAUAUUGCACAAUGGGCGAAAGCCUGAUGCAGCAACGCCGCGUGAGGGAUGACGGCCUUCGGGUUGUAAACCUCUUUUAGCAGGGAAGAAGCGAAAGUGACGGUACCUGCAGAAAAAGCGCCGGCUAACUACGUGCCAGCCGCCGCAGUAA